UCGAGCGAGCGGAACCACAGAUUUACUUCGGUAAUGACGUUGGGAAAGCGAGCGGCGGAUGGGUGAGUAACACGUGGGGAACCUGCCCCUAAGUCUGGGAUACCAUUUGGAAACAGGUGCUAAUACCGGAUAAUAAAGCGGAUCGCAUGAUCAGCUUUUGAAAGGCGGCGUAAGCUGUCGCUAAGGGAUGGCCCCGCGGUGCAUUAGCUAGUUGGUAAGGUAACGGCUUACCAAGGCGACGAUGCAUAGCCGAGUUGAGAGACUGAUCGGCCACAUUGGGACUGAGACACGGCCCAAACUCCUAUGGGAGGCAGCAGUAGGGAAUCUUCCACAAUGGACGCAAGUCUGAUGGAGCAACGCCGCGUGAGUGAAGAAGGUUUUCGGAUCGUAAAGCUCUGUUGUUGGUGAAGAAGGAUAGAGGUAGUAACUGGCCUUUAUUUGACGGUAAUCAACCAGAAAGUCACGGCUAACUACGUGCCAGCAGCCGCGGUAAUACGUAGGUGGCAAGCGUUGUCCGGAUUUAUUGGGCGUAAAGCGAGCGCAGGCGGAAAAAUAAGUCUAAUGUGAAAGCCCUCGGCUUAACCGAGGAACUGCAUCGGAAACUGUUUUUCUUGAGUGCAGAAGAGGAGAGUGGAACUCCAUGUGUAGCGGUGGAAUGCGUAGAUAUAUGGAAGAACACCAGUGGCGAAGGCGGCUCUCUGGUCUGCAACUGACGCUGAGGCUCGAAAGCAUGGGUAGCGAACAGGAUUAGAUACCCUGGUAGUCCAUGCCGUANACGAUGAGUGCUAAGUGUUGGGAGGUUUCCGCCUCUCAGUGCUGCAGCUAACGCAUUAAGCACUCCGCCUGGGGAGUA
rnacentral:rRNA from 1 species